UCUUUGGUGUCCAUAAACAUAACCGACAAAAACAACAUUCUCGCAGAUUUUUUUAAUCCAAGUUACUUGAAAUAAUUUAGCUAUGGUACGAACUUGCUGCGUUAUUGUAUGUAAUGUCUGAUCACACUACUGAAACGGUAAAAAGAUGGAAAACUGACUUUCGUUUCACUAUUUUCCUGCUUGGAAACAACGCGAGGAGGCUAAGCUAUCGGAGCUAAUGAAAAGAAGACGAUUGUCCUGGUAUCAGCGGUGAGACGCUGAUAUUACCUUCUCCAACAUCCACAGAUACCUACAAGUUUGCUCCAGACAUUUCCAUUCUGGCAAACCGAUGUAUGAAAUGGAUGAGCUCAAUCCUGACUGGGUUCCAGUGCUGAAUAUGGGUCACUGAGAAGAGGUAAAUAAUG